GCUGAUGCAUUAUCAAGAGUUCCUAAAAGGGAAUUACAGUGUUCUGUACUAUCGGGGUUGGUGCCUACUUGGAUGAGAGAUAUUUCUGAAACUUAUGAAGGGGAUGCAUUUGCUCAAGAUCUCAUAGCUCAAUGUGUAAUAGAUACUAAUAUUGUUGGACCUGUUUUCACUUUUCACAAUGGGGUUUUAAGGAAGCAUGGAGUGAUUUAUAUAGGG
rnacentral:lncRNA from 1 species